CCCAGACUCCUACGGGAGGCAGCAGUGGGGAAUAUUGCACAAUGGGGGAAACCCUGAUGCAGCGACGCCGCGUGAGUGAAGAAGUAUUUCGGUAUGUAAAGCUCUAUCAGCAGGGAAGAUAAUGACGGUACCUGACUAAGAAGCCCCGGCUAACUACGUGCCAGCAGCCGCGGUAAUACGUAGGGGGCAAGCGUUAUCCGGAUUUACUGGGUGUAAAGGGUGCGCAGGUGGCAGGGCAAGUCAGAUGUGAAAGCCCGGGGCUCAACCCCGGUAUUGCAUUUGAAACUGUCCGGCUAGAGUGCAGGAGAGGUAAGCGGAAUUCCUAGUGUAGCGGUGAAAUGCGUAGAUAUUAGGAGGAACACCAGUGGCGAAGGCGGCUUACUGGACUGUAACUGACACUGAGGCACGAAAGCGUGGGGAGCAAACAGGAUUAGAUACCCCAGUAU
rnacentral:rRNA from 1 species